rnacentral:rRNA from 1 species
GUCCACGCCGUAAACGAUGGAUACUAGCUGUUCGGAGCAAUCUGAGUGGCUAAGCGAAAGUGAUAAGUAUCCCACCUGGGGAGUACGUUCGCAAGAAUGAAACUCAAAGGAAUUGACGGGGGCCCGCACAAGCGGUGGAGCAUGUGGUUUAAUUCGAUGAUACGCGAGGAACCUUACCAAGGCUUAAAUGGGAAACGACAGGUUUUGGAAACAGACUUUUCUUCGGACGUUUUUCAAGGUGCUGCAUGGUUGUCGU